GUGAUCGCUUCAGCAGCACACAUAUAAAAUUGAAACGAUACAGAGAAGAUUAGCAUGGCCCCUGAGCAAGGAUGACACAUUCAUGAAGCGUUCCAAAUUUAA